rnacentral:rRNA from 1 species
CCUACGGGGGGCUGCAGUGGGGAAUUUUGGGCAAUGGGCGAAAGCCUGACCCAGCAACGCCGCGUGAAGGAUGAAGUAUUUCGGUAUGUAAACUUCGAAAGAAUAGGAAGAAUAAAUGACGGUACUAUUUAUAAGGUCCGGCUAACUACGUGCCAGCAGCCGCGGUAAUACGUAGGGACCAAGCGUUGUUCGGAUUUACUGGGCGUAAAGGGCGCGUAGGCGGCUCUGUAAGUCACUUGUGAAAUCUCUGAGCUUAACUCAGAACGGCCAAGUGAUACUGCAGAGCUAGAGUGUAGAAGGGGCAAUCGGAAUUCUUGGUGUAGCGGUGAAAUGCGUAGAUAUCAAGAGGAACACCUGAGGUGAAGACGGGUUGCUGGUCUAACACUGACGCUGAGGCGCGAAAGCCAGGGGAGCAAACGGGAUUAGAUACCCCUGUAGUC